GACGUAGGGAGCAAGCGUUGUCCGGAAUUACUGGGCGUAAAGAGCUCGUAGGCGGGAUCGUAAGUCUUAGAGGAAAUCUCACGGCUCAACUGUGGGGCUUUCUGAGAUACUGCGAUUCUUGAGGAUGUCAGAGGAAAGUGGAAUUCCAGGUGUAGCGGUGAAAUGCGUAGAUAUCUGGAGGAACACCGGUGGCGAAGGCGGCAUCCUGGACCAACACUGACACUGAGGAGCGAAAGCCAGGGGAGCAAACGGG
rnacentral:rRNA from 1 species